CGAGUGAAGCGGCAACAGCUCAAAUUUGAAAUCUGGCCCCCUCGGGGUCCGAGUUGUAAUUUGCAGAGGGUGCUUUGGUGUUGGCUGUGGUCCAAGUUCCCUGGAACAGGACGUCGCAGAGGGUGAGAACCCCGUACGUGGCCGCCAGCCUUCGCCGUGUAAAGCCCCUUCGAAGAGUCGAGUUGUUUGGGAAUGCAGCUCUAAAUGGGAGGUAAAUUCCUUCUAAAGCUAAAUAUUGGCCAGAGACCGAUAGCGCACAAGUAGAGUGAUCGAAAGAUGAAAAGCACUUUGGAAAGAGAGUGAAACAGCACGUGAAAUUGUUGAAAGGGAAGCGCUUGGAGCCAGACGUGCCCGUAGUUGCUCAGCCGGGGUCUUCCCCGGUGCACUCUUCUGCGGGCAGGCCAGCAUCAGUUUGGGCGGUCGGACAAAAGCCUGCUAAACGUACCUCCCCCCGGGGAGGACUUAUAGGGUAGGUGGCAUACGACCAGCCCGGACUGAGGACCGCGCAUCUGCUAGGAUGCUGGCGUAAUGGCUGUAAGCGGCCCGUCUUGAAACACGGACCAAGGAGUCUAAAAUCUAUGCGAGUGUUUGGGUGUCAAGCCCGAGCGCGCAAUGAAAGUGAACGCAGGUGGGAACCCCUCGGGGUGCACCAUCGACCGAUCCUGAUGUUUUCGGAAGGAUUUGAGUAUGAGCAUAGCUUUUGGGACCCGAAAGAUGGUGAACUAUGCCUGAAUAGGGUGAAGCCAGAGGAAACUCUGGUGGAGGCUCGCAGCGGUUCUGACGUGCAAAUCGAUCGUCAAAUUUGGGCAUAGGGG
rnacentral:rRNA from 1 species